UACUAUCUUAGUCCAAAGGCCUAUCAGGAAUAUGUUUUCCUCAUUGAAGAAAGCAGGAAGCUUUUCCUUUUAUCCUUUACCUCCUGGAACAGUAGGGAUAAUAUGGAAAUUAUCUGUUCAAUGAGAGUUAGAUAGCAUUUACCUAGAAAAUUGGGCUUGCUGUCAUUUUAGUGGCUCAUUCGUUGAAGAUCUUAGAGAUUUCUGCUAUGGGUUGUUUCCCCUAAUUUUUCUUGAGUCAAUUUUGGUAACUUCUGUUUUCUUUGACUAUCAUCCAUCUUAUUUAAUCUUCAAGUUUAUUUAUGUAACGUUACAUAUAAUUCUAGCAAGAUUUAAAAGAUUUUCUCUAAAUCUGCAGUUACAUUAUCCUCUUUCUCAGCCCUAAUGUUUGUGACUUCUCUUUCUCUCUCUUUUUUUUUUAAAUAGAGACAGGAUUUCACCGUGUUGGCCAGGCUGUUCUCAAACUCCUGACCUCAAGUGAUCCCCCCACCUCGGCCCCCCCAAAGUGCUGGGAUUACAGGCGUGAGCCACCAAGUCCCGCCCUUCUCUCUUUUAAUUGAUCAGAUUUUCGAAAGUAUUAUCUACAUGUAUUUAAUUUUUAAAAAUAGUUUUUGGUUUUAUUAAUUCAGUUUACACCUUUUUUAGGGGGGGCUGUUACUUUAUAUUUGUGCCCCAAAACAAAACAAAACAAAAACCGAUAACUAUAUCUGUAUAUCUGUGCUAAGUAUACAUACGGGCACAUAUAUAUAAUCCGUCGCCGAGGCUAGAAUACAGUGGCGUGAUCUCAGCUCUCUCUAGCCUCGACUUCCCAGGCUCAAGUGAUCUUCCCACCUCAGUCUCCAGAACAGCUAGGGCCACAGGCAUGCCCCACCAAGCCCAGCUAAUUUUUUAAUUUUUUUGUAGGGGCGAGGUCUCCCACUAUGUUUUUUUGCCCAGUCUCAAACAACUGGGCUUAAGCGAUUCUCCCACUUUGGCCUCCCAAAAUGCUGGGAUUACAAGCAUGAGCCACCACCAUGGACAGCCUUUCUUUUAUAUUUAUUCUUUUUUGGUGUUUAUUAACUCUUUUCCUAGAUUUUUGAACAUUUAUUUAUUUAAGACAGUCUCACUGUGUUGCCCAGGUUGAGGUGCAGUGGCAUGAUCUCAGCUCACUGCAACCUCCAUCUCCCAGGUUGAAAUAAUUCUCCUGCCUCAGCCUCCUAAGUAGCUGGGAUUACCAGCAUGUGCCACCAUGCCCCACUAAUUUUUGUAUUUUUAGUAAAGACAAGGUUUCACCAUGUUGGCCAGGCUGGUCUUGAACUCCUAACCUCAGGUGAUCUGUGCCCACCUUGGUCUCCCAAACUGCUGGGAUUACAUGCGUGAGCCACCAUGCCCAGUCUUUUUCUAGAUUUUUGAGUUAAAUGUUCAGUUCAGUUCAUUAUUUUUCAAUCUUGUUUUCUUCUUCUCUUUUUUUAAGAGACAGAAUUUUGCUCUGUCGCCCCAGCUGGCAUGUAGUGUUAUGACCUCAGCUCAGUGCAGCUCACUGCAACCUGCAACCUCCACCUCCUUGGGUUCAAGUGAUUCUUGAGCCUCAGCCUCCUGAGUAGCUGGGACUACAGGCAUGUGCCACCAUGCCUGGCUAAUUUUGGCAUUUUUAGUAGAGACAGGGUUUUGAGAUUUUGGCCAGGGUCUCAAAUUCCUGGCCUCAAGUGAUCCACCCACUUGGCCUCCCAAAGUGCCAGCAUUACAGGUGUAAGCCACCACACCUGGCCAAUCUUGUUUUCUGAUAAAAAUAUAUUGAGUAAUGGUAUGUAACCUCCAAAGGUGCCAGCUUUGAAAGAUAACACUCAUUUGAAUGGUCUUGUUUUUGUUUUAGAAAAUAAUUUUUAUUACUUUGUAUCCUUACCUCUUAAUAAUAUAAUUUUAAAAUAUUGUCUAAUUGUUAAUAUGAAAAAAGUAUAAUAAAUCUAUCAGAAUCUGUCUGGAAGCACAAGGGAAAAAUAAUGUAUUUAUUGUACUUGUUUCUUUUAUAUGAACAAUUGGACUAAUUGCAUUAAAUUUAGAGGUAUUGCAUAGAAAAGAUGAUCUGGAGGUUAAGGAAAAAAUAUUCAGCAUAUUAUUUGAAAUUAGAACCUAUAUAUAUGGGUUUUUUGUUUGUUUGUUUGUUUUUUGAGACAGAGUCUGGUUCUGCUGUCAAGGCUGGAGGGCAGUGGCUUGAUCUCAGCUCACUGCAACCUCUACCUCCUGGGUUCAAGCAGUUCUCCUGUCUCAGCCUCCCAAGUAGCUGGGAUUACAGUCACCUUCCACCAUGCCCAGCUAAUUUUUUUGUAUUUUAGUGGACAUGGGGUUUUGCCAUAUUAGCCAGGCUGGUCUCCAACUCCUGACCUCAAGUGAUCUGCUUGCCUUGGCCUCCCAAAGUGCUGAGAUUACAGGCAUGAACCACUGUGCCCGGCCUUAGAACCAAUAUUUUAUUUAAAAUAUGUUUGUUCUGUUUUGAAACUUUUCAUACAGUUUGCUAUUUAACACAAGGCAACACAGAAACAUUUGUGUUCAAUAUUCUGCAUUGGGGAAUGGAGACUUAGCAAAGUUCAGUUUCAUAAAGAAAGCGUGUCCAUUGCAAAUUAAAAGAAAGUGGAUGUUCAGUCUCCAUACAUUUUAACAAAUCGAGCACGCUACAAGCAAGUAGACUUUCAGUAACUCAUCUGGAAGGUAUUGGAAGGAUAUAAAUAGACUAAAUAAUCAGAAUUUCCAUUCUAGGAGUUUCCUGCUUUUUCCUGCAUCUCAAUUGUCAGCGCAGGGCCUGGCUAUUUCACUCAGUGCUAGGCAAAGACAGUGGAAGCUUGUUAAGCCACAGCUAUUCAGGCUGCCAGAUCGUCCAGGCAUUGGCCUCUGCCUGCCCUGAAACAGCUCCUUCCUGUCCUCAUAUCUGAGUGGAAAAAACAAAGGCGGGAGACUGUAUCAAGACCCAGAAGCCAGGAUGACAAGUAUGUGGGAUUUUACAAGCAUUCAUAGGUUCCUUUUCAAGAAAAGCCCGGCUUCUAGAAUCUGUCAGUCGUCUGCUGCCUGGCAUGUCAGCCUGGUUUAUGAGAGAAGCACACUGGGGAAUCAUCCCUUUUCUGGCUUAUAGAGAUAGGUGGAGUCGAUAGUCAUAGGGCACUCUCAUGUGCUUUUUACUAUUUUAGUUACUUUAUUUCCUGAAGCAGUCCUUAAAACAGGUAGAUGAAUUCGAGUUUCUGGGAACAAUGUGACCCUCAUUCCCCUAGUUUUUAUACUCAGGUGGCAGAUUUCCUCCUACUCAGCCCAGUCCUUCUGAAUAGGGUCCAAGUCAUUGAUUCAUUCAUUUAUUCACCUCCUAUGUGGGGUUUGGUGUGGAGCCUCACAGAGCAAUGAAGACAUGGUGUUUAUCCUUAAUACAGUUUACAGUCUCCUGGGAAGACUAAUGUUAAGCACAUUCUUUCGCAGAUACUAAAUUGCAGUUAUCACCAUUGCAUUCUGAAGAAGUAGUAAAGGAUGUUAUGGGAGUUAACAGGAAGGCCUGGUCUGGACUGUGAGGGUCAAGAAGGCUUCGCAGGGCGGAGGCGAACUUUUGAGAUAGCCAGGAAAAAAUGAACGGAACUGCUCAAAGAAGGAAGCCAAGUGGGGCUGGGCAUGGUGGCUCACUCUGGUAAACGCAGCACUUUGGGAGGCUGAGGCGGGUGGAUCACAAGGUCAAGAGUUCGAGACCAGCCUGGCCAACAUGGUGAAACCCCGUCUCUACUAAAAAUACAAAAAUUAGCCGGGCAUGGUGGUGCACACCUGUAAUCCUAGCUACUCAGGAGGUUGAGGCAGAAUUGCUUGAACGCGGGAGGUGGGAGUUGCCCUGAGCCGAGAUGGGGCCACUGCACUCCAGCCUGGGUGACAGAGUAAGGCUUCAUCUCAAAAAAUAAAAAUAAGAAAAAAGAAGCCAAGUGCAGUGUUUCAGAGGUGAAAGAAACCAAACAUACCCUCUAGUGAAGCCCAAUCUCCUACAAAUGAGAAAACUGAGGCCAGGCAGGGUAGGUUAGGGACUUACUCGCUUUUAGCACUAAAGUUAGACAGCCUGUGAGCUGCAGGGCUGGAGAUGUAAACCCAGCUUGGGUUUCUUCGGUAGUUAGUAAUGGAGAUGCAUGAGGAAAGGAGACGGGAUUAGGAGGGGUGGAAACCAGGUAGGUUUUAAUUUAGUGCCUCCUCUCCCUCAGCUGCAGAGCUACUUCCUGCGGUGGGGGAGGGGAUUAAAGAUGACUCAGACCUGCCCUAGCCCAGAGAAACUCCGUAUGCAAUGCUGUAGCAUAGUUUUUAUUUGAGUUUGGGGGAAGAGGUACUGAACACACAUACAGGCAAAACAGUAAGUGCAGAGUUCAGAAUUGGGAAACCAUUCCCUCUUCCGCAGCUGUUUAGCUGUGUGAUUUGGGAAAAGUCACUUAACCUUUCUGAAUUGCAGUUCAGUUUAUACUUUUGUGCGUUUCUUUCAGUCUUUUUCUAUGCAUUUUAGGAGCUUCUUAGAGAUCAGUUUUGCCCUAUAUUUCACCUCGGUCUUUCCCAAAACUAAAGCCUCUUGUUUGGUAGAGCGGUGUUUCAGCCCCUUUUACAGAGCAGUUUGCCAGCCUGUGCUUGCCCAAACAUCUAGAGAAUAACUAGCAAGCGAGCCAGGAUAAGAUCCAGGAGCUGUAAGAAUCGUUAGCAACUGAGCAUAUUUCUAUAAACCAAUAAAGGUUUUUCUAUUUUGUUCAUCUGUUACCCUUAUGCUGUUGCCACUUUCACAUGCAGUGUCUGUAGGCGGAGAGUAUGAGAUAACAGCAUUUCACAAAUGAGAGUAGAAAAGGGCUGCUUCCCCUUUAAGGCAGUUUCAGCUCCAGCUCCCUCCCCUUUCCUGAUUGACAAACCUACCCGAAGUCACAUGACCUGCCUCUAUUUGAAGGUCACAAAAAGCUGCUUCCUUUAGAGACAGAGGGGGAGAGAGAGAGCAAGAGGGAGAGUGUGUGAGAGUGAGUUAGUUCAAGCCAAAAUGGCCGACAGAGUCUCUGCUGGUUUCUGAAUAUUUAAAAUACAAAAAAACAGAUAGACAAAAAGAAUUCAUUUUUUGGACCUUUUUUCAUUUCCAUUUCUACCUUGUAUGCCUCAAUUUGCUGGAUUUAAGCACUGCUGCACUUUAUGAGAGAGAAGGAGCAAGAAAGGGAAGAACAGUUAAUGGAAGACAAGAAAAGGAAGAAAGAGGAUAAAAAGAAAAAAGAAGCCACUCAGAAGGUCACGGAACAAAAAACCAAAGUGCCCGAAGUGACGAAACCAAGUUUAAGCCAACCAACGGCCGCCAGCCCAAUUGGCAGCUCUCCAUCGCCACCAGUCAAUGGUGGCAACAAUGCCAAAAGGGUGGCAGUGCCGAACGGACAACCGCCAAGCGCCGCCCGCUACAUGCCUCGGGAGGUGCCACCGCGAUUCCGUUGCCAGCAGGACCACAAAGUGUUACUAAAACGUGGGCAGCCCCCUCCACCGUCCUGCAUGCUCCUCGGGGGUGGGGCAGGGCCUCCUCCCUGCACAGCACCUGGAGCAAACCCAAACAACGCACAAGUGACAGGAGCGCUGCUGCAGAGUGAGAGUGGGACUGCGCCAGAGUCAACCCUUGGAGGUGCUGCUGCUUCAAAUUAUGCAAAUUCCACUUGGGGCUCGGGAGCCUCCUCCAACAACGGCACCUCCCCCAACCCAAUUCACAACUGGGACAAGGUGAUUGUAGACGGGUCUGACAUGGAAGAGUGGCCUUGUAUUGCCAGCAAAGACACUGAAUCUUCUUCCGAAAACACCGCCGAUAACAACAGUGCCUCGAACCCUGGCUCUGAGAAGAGCACUCUGCCAGGAAGCACCACUAGUAACAAAGGAAAAGGGAGCCAGUGCCAGUCUGCAAGUUCUGGGAACGAAUGUAAUCUUGGGGUCUGGAAAUCUGACCCUAAGGCUAAAUCUGUUCAAUCUUCCAACUCUACUACAGAGAACAACAAUGGACUAGGAAAUUGGAGGAAUGUGAGUAGUCAGGAUAGAAUUGGACCUGGCUCUGGCUUCAGCAACUUUAACCCAAAUAGCAACCCAUCUGCCUGGCCAGCACUGGUCCAAGAAGGAACUUCUAGGAAAGGGGCAUUGGAAACAGAUAAUAGUAAUUCCAGUGCACAGGUUAGCACAGUAGGUCAGACAUCCAGGGAACAGCAGUCAAAGAUGGAAAAUGCGGGUGUUAAUUUUGUUGUCUCUGGCAGAGAACAGGCUCAAAUUCAUAACACUGAUGGACCAAAAAAUGGAAACACUAACUCCUUGAACUUAAGUUCACCAAACCCCAUGGAGAAUAAGGGAAUGCCCUUUGGAAUGGGCUUGGGGAACACCUCCAGGAGCACUGAUGCCCCUUCACAAAGCACUGGAGAUCGAAAGACUGGGAGUGUUGGAUCUUGGGGUGCAGCUAGGGGGCCUUCUGGAACUGACACAGUCUCUGGACAAAGCAAUUCUGGAAACAAUGGGAACAAUGGAAAAGAGAGAGAGGACUCCUGGAAAGGAGCUUCUGUUCAGAAAUCAACUGGGUCAAAAAGUGACUCUUGGGACAACAAUAACAGGUCUACGGGUGGGUCCUGGAACUUUGGUCCCCAGGACUCUAAUGACAACAAAUGGGGUGAAGGGAACAAAAUGACAUCUGGGGUCUCUCAGGGAGAAUGGAAACAGCCGACUGGGUCUGAUGAGUUGAAAAUUGGAGAAUGGAGUGGUCCAAACCAACCAAAUUCUAGCACUGGAGCAUGGGACAAUCAAAAGGGCCACCCCCUCCCUGAAAACCAAGGCAAUGCCCAGGCUCCCUGUUGGGGAAGAUCUUCCAGCUCCACAGGAAGUGAAGUUGGAGGUCAAAGCACUGGAAGCAACCACAAAGCAGGAAGUAGUGACAGUCAUAACUCUGGCCGUCGGUCAUACAGGCCCACACAUCCUGAUUGUCAGGCUGUCUUGCAGACUCUUUUGAGCCGAACUGAUUUGGACCCCAGGGUGCUCUCAAACACCGGCUGGGGCCAAACUCAAAUUAAGCAGGACACAGUGUGGGACAUUGAAGAGGUGCCAAGGCCCGAGGGGAAAUCUGACAAAGGAACUGAGGGGUGGGAGAGCGCUGCCACACAGACCAAGAACUCAGGGGGCUGGGGAGACGCACCCAGCCAAAGCAAUCAAAUGAAGUCUGGAUGGGGGGAGCUCUCAGCCUCUACAGAGUGGAAAGACCCCAAGAACACCGGAGGCUGGAAUGACUACAAGAACAACAACUCUUCCAACUGGGGAGGAGGACGACCUGAUGAAAAGACAUCUUCCUCUUGGAAUGAGAAUCCCAGCAAGGAUCAGGGGUGGGGGGGUGGACGCCAGCCCAAUCAAGGAUGGACCUCUGGAAAGAAUGGUUGGGGGGAGGAAGUAGAUCAAGCGAAAAACAGCAAUUGGGAAAGUUCUGCAAGUAAACCUGUGUCUGGGUGGGGUGAAGGAGGGCAGAAUGAAAUCGGAACUUGGGGUAACGGUGGGAAUGCAAACCUAGCUUCAAAAGGUGGGUGGGAGGAUUGCAAAAGAUCCCCAGCAUGGAAUGAGACAAGCCGACAGCCCAAUUCCUGGAAUAAACAACACCAACAGCAGCAGCCGCCACAGCAGCCACCACCGCCACAACCAGAGGCUUCUGGUUCGUGGGGAGGCCCACCCCCACCACCUCCAGGCAGCGUUCGACCUUCCAGUUCCAGCUGGAGCAGCGGGCCGCAGCCUACAACCCCUAAGGAUGAGGAACCCAGUGGUUGGGAAGAGCCAUCCCCACAGUCAAUUAGUCGGAAAAUGGACAUUGAUGAUGGCACUUCAGCAUGGGGAGACCCCAACAGUUAUAACUAUAAGAAUGUGAAUCUGUGGGAUAAGAAUUCCCAAGGGGGCCCAGCACCUCGAGAACCAAACCUGCCCACCCCAAUGACGAGUAAAUCAGCAUCAGUCUGGAGCAAAAGCACACCACCUGCUCCAGAUAAUGGUACUUCCGCUUGGGGUGAGCCAAAUGAAAGCAGUCCUGGGUGGGGCGAGAUGGAUGAUACAGGAGCAUCGACCACAGGCUGGGGGAACAUGCCCGCCAACGCUCCCAAUGCCAUGAAGCCUAAUUCCAAAUCUAUGCAAGAUGGCUGGGGGGAGAGUGACGGGCCAGUCGCAGGAACUCGCCAUCCCAGCUGGGAAGAGGAGGAAGAUGGAGGAGUCUGGAACACCGCUGGCUCUCAGGGCAGUGCUUCCUCCCACAACUCGGCAAGCUGGGGACAAGGAGGAAAGAAACAAAUGAAGUGCUCACUUAAAGGAGGAAACAGUGAUUCAUGGAUGAAUCCUCUUGCCAAACAGUUUUCAAAUAUGGGAUUGCUGAGUCAGACUGAAGAUAAUCCAAGCAGCAAAAUGGAUUUGUCUGUAGGAAGCCUUUCAGAUAAAAAGUUUGAUGUGGACAAGCGAGCGAUGAAUCUCGGGGAUUUUAACGAUAUCAUGAGGAAGGAUCGAUCUGGGUUCCGUCCACCUAAUUCCAAAGACAUGGGAACCACAGAUAGUGGGCCUUAUUUUGAGAAGCUGACUUUGCCUUUCUCCAAUCAAGAUGGGUGCCUUGGGGAUGAGGCUCCCUGCUCUCCCUUCUCCCCUUCUCCCAGCUACAAGCUGUCUCCCUCUGGUUCCACACUACCCAACGUCAGCCUUGGAGCAAUCGGCACAGGGCUCAACCCCCAAAACUUCGCUGCUAGACAAGGCGGUAGUCAUGGUUUGUUUGGAAACAGCACAGCACAAUCGAGGGGUCUGCACACACCAGUGCAGCCACUAAAUUCUUCUCCCAGUCUCCGGGCGCAAGUGCCUCCCCAGUUUAUUUCCCCCCAGGUUUCUGCCUCAAUGCUCAAGCAGUUUCCCAGCAGUGGCCUGAGUCCAGGUCUUUUCAAUGUGGGGCCCCAGUUAUCUCCUCAACAAAUCGCCAUGCUGAGCCAGCUUCCACAAAUUCCCCAGUUUCAGUUGGCAUGUCAGCUUCUCUUGCAACAGCAGCAACAGCAGCAGUUGUUACAGAACCAGAGAAAGAUUUCUCAAGCUGUACGCCAACAGCAAGAGCAGCAGCUGGCUCGAAUGGUGAGUGCACUGCAGCAGCAGCAGCAGCAGCAGCAGCAGAGGCAGCCAGGCAUGAAGCACUCACCCUCUCAUCCUGUCGGGCCCAAGCCGCAUCUGGACAACAUGGUACCCAACGCAUUGAAUGUGGGGCUCCCAGACCUUCAAACCAAAGGGCCAAUACCUGGAUAUGGUUCUGGCUUCAGCUCUGGCGGCAUGGACUAUGGCAUGGUUGGUGGGAAGGAGACUGGAACUGAGUCUCGCUUUAAACAGUGGACCUCCAUGAUGGAGGGGCUGCCCUCUGUAGCCACACAGGAAGCCAAUAUGCACAAAAAUGGCGCUAUAGUGGCCCCUGGUAAGACCCGGGGAGGGUCACCGUACAACCAGUUUGAUAUCAUCCCUGGUGACACACUGGGUGGCCAUACGGGUCCUGCUGGUGAUAGCUGGUUACCUGCCAAAUCUCCACCAACAAAUAAAAUCGGAAGUAAAUCCAGCAAUGCCAGUUGGCCUCCAGAAUUCCAACCAGGAGUGCCAUGGAAAGGUAUCCAAAACAUUGACCCUGAGUCUGACCCCUAUGUCACCCCAGGAAGUGUGCUGGGGGGUACAGCCACAUCUCCCAUUGUAGAUACUGACCACCAACUGCUGCGGGAUAACACCACAGGGUCUAAUUCUUCCCUCAACACCUCGCUGCCUUCACCUGGUGCCUGGCCCUACAGUGCCUCUGACAAUUCCUUUACCAACGUUCAUAGCACUUCAGCAAAGUUCCCUGAUUACAAAUCAACAUGGUCCCCGGAUCCCAUAGGACACAACCCCACUCAUCUCUCCAACAAGAUGUGGAAAAACCAUAUUUCCUCCAGGAACACUACACCGCUGCCCCGCCCACCUCCUGGUCUGACCAACCCCAAACCAUCAUCUCCCUGGAGCAGCACAGCACCCCGAUCAGUCAGGGGGUGGGGGACACAGGACUCGCGGCUCGCCUCGGCCUCUACCUGGAGUGAUGGUGGUUCAGUUCGUCCUAGUUACUGGCUGGUUCUUCACAAUCUCACUCCACAGAUUGAUGGGUCAACCUUGAGAACGAUCUGCAUGCAGCAUGGCCCACUGCUGACAUUCCAUCUGAAUCUAACCCAGGGCACUGCCCUGAUCCGAUACAGCACCAAACAGGAGGCAGCCAAAGCCCAAACUGCACUGCACAUGUGUGUGUUGGGAAACACUACCAUCCUUGCUGAGUUUGCCACUGAUGAUGAAGUCAGCCGUUUUCUGGCACAAGCUCAGCCCCCUACACCUGCAGCAACCCCGAGUGCGCCAGCCGCAGGGUGGCAGUCGCUGGAGACUGGCCAGAACCAGUCGGAUCCCGUGGGACCUGCUCUGAAUCUUUUCGGUGGGUCCACUGGGCUCGGGCAGUGGAGCAGCAGCGCUGGUGGCAGCAGCGGGGCCGAUCUUGCUGGCGCUUCAUUGUGGGGGCCCCCAAACUAUUCUUCUAGCUUAUGGGGAGUCCCAACGGUGGAAGAUCCCCAUAGGAUGGGCAGCCCUGCUCCUUUACUACCUGGUGACCUUCUGGGAGGAGGGUCGGAUUCAAUCUGAACUUAGAACUUUCAACUCUGACCUCGUGACCUUUUUUGGAACAGCAGCAGCACUAACUUGACCUUUUCGUUUUUUUUUUCAACUUGCAAUAAAUACAUUUUUAAAAGGAAAAAAGAAAACGGAGAGAAAAAAAGGUGGGUCAUUGACAGACUGUCUGAGCACAUAGUUGCCUCCCUUAUAACUUCAGUUUUUUCGUUUGGAAUAUGAAUCCAAAAAGAGAACAUAUCACUCUUGAAAUACUUGAAUCAUGAACGCCAACCUAGAAAGACAAUGUGAAGCAAGUACACAUACCAUUUAAAUUUAAACACAAAAAAAUUAAAAAAAUUAGUUUCUAGUUUUUCACUUUUUUCAUGUUAUAUGGAAGUUGUUGCUAAGAAACAUAUAUACUGAAAAAAAAAUAGCUUUUUAACUUUGUUUGCACUGGGUGUGUUUCCGUCCUUAGGUCUACCAUGUUUUGGGAGGGAGGGAAAUUCAAAAGAAUUGUUGGGGGAGGGGGGAGGGAAGACUUGACGGAGCCUCACUUUAAAAACAAAAACACAAAAAACCUAAAAAAAAAAAAAAAAAAAAAAGGAAAAAAUUUGUGAUUGGCUGGUUGAUAAAUACCAGUGUGUUCUGGCACAUGUAACUGCCCAGGCAUGCUCGUUCUGGUGUGUGUGCACGUGUGUUCAUGUGCAUUCGCGUGCAUCCUUCUCUGUCUCUGUGUGUGUGCCUGUGUUUCUCCCUUCUCCCGCCGCCCUACCCUGACUUCUCAGAAAGCUGCAUCGCUGACAGUCCACAGGCUGGCUGGCCGGCCAUCUGCUUUUUCUUUCUUUUUUUUUUUUAACUAUGAGAACACACAGGCCCAGAGAGCCACUGCUCCUAAAACAACUCCAUUGGGCUGCACUAAGAUGAACAGAGCGCUUUUUAAUGAUGAAAGCAGGGUGCUCCUUUCCAUUUGCAACUUAGCCUGAAUGCGGGGUUUCUCUGGCUGUUCUUUUGACCUAGCAGUAGAGUGGAGCACUGCCAAGUCCAAAAAAACUAGAGCGGGAGGUGGUACCUCGUGGAGCAGCUGUGUGUUUAUUUCUGUUUUUUUUAAAGUGAAUGGCCACCAGGCACAUCUGAGUAUUUGUUAAGUUUCAUGCAGGCCUUUUCGUUAGUUUGAAUGGGAACAGAAGAUAGUUUUUGGUUAUACGAUGUCUCAAAAGCAGAAAAACCAUGUUCCCUCUUUCCUUAUGAAGAGGUUUGAGAAAUUCAUCAAAAAACUAAGUGAAGUUGAGUUAAGUAUUUCUGUUGGUUGCUUCUCUUUUUCAUUUUAUGAAAACAGAAAAGAAUAAGUGGUGAGCAGCCUCCUGAAAGCAUCUGCAGCUACUCCCUCUGCUCCUCUCUCGCCGAGCGUUACCUGUGCCAGGCCGCGGCGCGUUACAGCACCAGGCCAUCACUGACAGAAACGUUUACUUAACGAAUGUUCUUAAACCAGUGUGUACUUCAAGCGUUUCCUUUCGUUUCUCUGUGUUGUGUAUUUCCUGUGUAUGUGAUUUUGCUUAGGCAGGUAUAACUUAGCAAAGACUUUUAAGUAUUGCACCUUUUUUUUUGGUUUUGACCUCUUUCCCCCCGGCCCUCUUGUAAUUUUGCUUUUUUUAUUUUGGUAUUUAAAAACUGUUUUUUGUGUUUUUUUUAAGCAUCAAUGUAGUAGUACUCUGGGCUGAACAGGGGGCAGCGUUGAAUCCAUAGUUACCACCAACAUGUAUGUACUUAUGUUGGAAUCAAAAUGUAUCAAACUGCUUAUUGUGAAGAGAAUUACAGCAGACCCGAAGCGGGGUACAAAGCAGAUGGGGUUGGGGGAUGUAUGCCGGCGAUUUGCUAGCACUUGUGUGGACAUCCCAGUCUGCAUUAUACUGUUUAACAUAAAGUGCCGACAUUUUGUACCAGCAAAUACCUGCCCAUUCCAAUCCUUGGUGGGAGCAGACCUCCACUGUCCUCUGUAACUUGCUGCUAUUGAGGACAAGGGAGUUUUUCUUUCUUUAGCAUCUUCAGUGAAGGAUAUAACAAUGCCUAAUGUAUUUGACUUAGCUUGUGUCUGUGUGUAGGUGGGUGAGUGGGUGUGUAUAGGAAAAGCCUAAAACAAGUUAUUUGCAUUUCAGUGGUUUUGUGAGACAAAGAAUGGGAAAUUCUGUAGCCCUUCUGGGUUACCCUGUUAAUUAUAAACCUAGCCUCAAAAGAGAUUGACAGGCAUGACUCAAGUGAGCGUUCACGUGUAUGAGCCUACAUGAGCCCUCUGUGGGUAGGUGGUCACACUUGGCAUCUGCAGCGUUGACUCGGCCCCACUGGGUGCCUUGAGCAUGCCCUCUUCCUGCUUUCCAAUUUGAAUCACCACCGUGCCCCUUCCACCACUGUUCCCCAUACAAAAGAUCUUCCAGCAGCCCCCACUGACUGCUCUCUGUGUGGAGCAUAGUGCUGUCCUGCAGUGACUACCAGGUGAAGAGCAGCUUGUAGUCAGACACCUAGAGAAGGCUAAAUCAUAGUGUCCCUGGGCCAGGAGCAUGUCCCCAGGCUCCCGAGAGCCAGUGGUGACCCUGUCCACUGCCGCCCUUGGUUCACUGCUGUGUCCUGCCCUGCCCUCCUCUCCUCCUGCCUGUUGGUUCCUUGACCUGCACUAUGGGUUAGUUGAGUUCCUUACGAUACUACGGUGAAAGCCGGGUGCUAGAGCCCCUCUUGUUUACAAGACAUAAUGAGGGAUUUGAAAUAUGUAAAAAUAAACAUGAGAAGCUAAAAUGUUCUUCCAUCAUAAGCUUAAAGGGAAAAAACUAAAAACUUUAAAAAAAAAAAAAAGACCAAAAAGUGCGUAUAUAUAUAUAUACACAUAUAUAUAUACAUAUAAAUAUAUAUUUUAGAUGAAGACUAACUCUGGGAGCAUUUAACAGUGUUUUUUGUUUCUGUUUUUAACAUUUAUUUUCCUGCUUUAAAAUUUGCAAGCAUUCUCAGGAAUUCUAGGGUAGGAAGCCAGUUUUUUGAAGAUGGUUUAUUUAACCGUAUCUUAUCCUAGAUAGAUGGCUGUUUCUUUCCUGUCAAUAAACUUUUACAAGUUCCUGAAACUUCACAAAGUUUAAACGAUUUUUACUUAAAAAAAAUGUAAAAAGAAAAGUCUCCAAACAUUAUUGUCAUACUGGGGAGUCACACAUUUUAAAACACAUAGAAAGAAAUAUUUUUUAAAAAUUAUCAAUUUAGCAGCAACAGGUUAAUUCAUUAUCUUAAAAAUAUGGGAGAAGGAUUAAGCUUUUUAAGAGCUCAAUCAUGGAUUCGUUUGAAAUUGUGUGUAGUUAAUGGGAGAGUGUUUGGUGUACAUAGAUGAGAAUGCCAUCACUUUGUUCCUUUCCAUUUAAGACUGAACUGAAAUACCCACUAGUAAUUUUUAUUUUUUUAAAGGAACCCUUCUCCCUGUCCCCACAACCCCAGCAACUAAAGAAUGAAAGGAAGGAAGGAAGAAAAAACAGCUUAAAAAUAAAAAAGUAACUCUAAUCUGUAAAAUAGUACAGUUGGAUUGCUGAGAAUCUAUGUAAAGAGUUAGGAAAUAUAGGUUAAUAAUUUUUGGAACAAAUUUUAAAUAUAGGCAUUACUAGAGGAAAAUUAUCUAUGGACUGUUCUAUUAAUGAAGAAUGUCUGUCUUACCUCCGUUUGUUAUGGGAGGAGGAGAAAAUAUAGAAGAAUCUAAUAAGGAACAAGCGAUUUUACUUUUUUAGCUCCCAGCUACUGUUGUGCUCGUUUUAAUUGCUGUUUUGAAGAUCUGCUGCUUAAUUAUCCCCAUCCCUUAGCCGGAGAUGUGGAGUGUUUCCUUUCAGUUUUUGGUGAUGUUGAAUUCUUUUGUAUUCCCUCCUGGGGCCAGGGGUCAGAAUUCCCAAGCAUGACCACAGCUUCUUUUAAACAUUAAGCUUCCCAGUGGGAAAGAAACUCCAGCUCGACAGGUAAAGGGAGUGGGUGGGGUUGCUGCCUGCAAUUUCUCUAAAACCGCUUUAGUGCCUUCGUACAUACACCCAGACACCCUGAGCAGCGGGGGACGCAUGCAUGUGUUCGUGUGGUCCAGUCACUCCACAAAUGUAAGGAAAGGAAAUUGGAGUGGUUCUGGACAGGCCCCAAAGGCAGUGGGCUAAAUUUAAAAUAAACAAACAAAUGUCAAGUAAGCUAAAUAGGCUUUUAUGUCUCAAUAAUGUAGAAUGCCAAGUUCCUUCCUUGUGUCGUGCGCCCUCCAUUACCGUGCAUUGACUUCUCCGGGUGUGUAAUUGUGACAACCGCAGUGAUUUGGAAAGUCUCUUCAUGUUGGGCCAAUAGAAAGGGGUUCCUGUUGUUCUGCUCUUGUCCUUUGCCUCCUCCCCUUUCCCCCCAGACCUCCCCCUUCUUUUUGUCAGCUUGCUGGGAGCUUUGCUUUGUUGGUUGGCAGUGACCUAAGAACAGGAUAUGGUGAGGAUAUCAUGAGAGAGAGAAGCUCUUUCCCUGGUAUUCUUUGGCAAGAGCCAUGUCUACUAAGAGGUUAGGUGACUUCAGUACACUUAGAAAAUUCAGUGAGAGUGCCUUCUCUUCCACCACACUCUGGCAUAGAUACAGGCUUGCUGGUCACCUCUCAUUACACAGAUUUAUUUUUAAAACAUUUUGAUUAUGUUAAUUUGAGCUUUCUCUUUUUUUUGUUUUUUUCACUAGUUCUUUUUAAAACACUUGAUGACUAGUGGCUAGAGAUGGGUACAACCCUUGAACAUCAUAAACUUCCUUUCUACCUAUCACAUGAGUAACCAAAAGAAAAGAAGCACUGAUAGUGAAAGGGGUGUCUCACAUCAGAUAGAGGACCCCUACUGUCAGUUAGAUCCAGUGCCGCGACCUAACUUUAGGGGUUGAAAAAAGUUCAGCUCUCUGAGACAGUGUGAAGAAAUGGAUGGCUCAUGGAACAUCUCUGGUCCCUCAGUCCCUAUCCCUGGACAUGUUUCAUUUGCAACAUUCACAGGAGUUAACUAAGCAAUGUUGCAAAUUAAGGUUCCAAACCAAAUUACUUAAUCAGUGUCCCCGCAAUAAACCAUUAUCCAUCUAUUGCCAGUUAGUUUUAUUUAUAGCAAUUUGAUUUUCUAGUAGUAUGGCUCCUGUUCUAAGAAUUUUCCCACCCCUCUGACAUGAAUGUAGCAUAAGUUAGCAAUUGGUUCUUCCAAACUUCUGUGGGUUGAUUAUGGCAUUUAAGAUACACAAGAGGAAAAAGAAAGGAGAAGAUAAAACUCCUGCCUGAGCAUUUGGAAGCACCUUUAUUAAUACAUAUAUCUCGCAGAAACUUAAAGUUCAUGAGCUGUUAACUUUUUGCAAAUAUUCACUCAUUUUUACUACUUAUUUUGGAGGGGGUUGUGAUUUUUGUAGGGUAAACAGCCAGAUUCCAUUUGACCUCAAAUGCUGUGUACUUUUUAAUUUCAUGUUUUAUAUUCUGCCAUCUUGCCUCGUCUCUAAAACAAAGAAAAUGUCUGCAUGCUGAGCAAAAUGCUUAUGCCAAGCCUGUUUUUCCCUGCAGAGUAAACAGGAUGUAUUCAGCGAACUUGGCUGUAAUAGCCAUCUGUAAGAUUAGGGAACAAUUGAGUCUUUACAUAGAAAAGAUCCCUUUUUUCCCCAUCUUCAGAGUUAAAAUUCAACAUUUAAAGCUUUAUAGGUAAUUGUUUUAGAUUUGAGAUUUUUGGUUUUGUUUUUAAGUAUCUAUAAGGUCUUCAGAAGUUAGAUAAGUUUUUAGCUGGUUAAAAAAAAUCAAAUUUUUCUCUCCAGUGUUUUUGCCAAGUUUUAUCACACUUCAUGUGUAUGCAUUAACUACACCUCUUAGUGUUACUGCAAAAAAAAAAAUCCUUGUUCUUUAGUUGUGUUUUUCCUCCUGUGUGUGUACAACUACGGCCACGUGAUAAUGCAGAUGAAAAUAUUCUAGCCUCUGUGUACACAAUGAAUUGUUAGUCUUCAGACCUCAUGGUCAUUGAGAAAAUAGGGACCCACAACCCCUUCCGCACACCACAUCCUACCCCCUUCUUUGUCUGCAACUACAGGGAGUCCUGCCAGGGAGUCAAGAAGCACAUAAAUAUACAUAAUGCUGUUGAGGACAUCGUCAUUCUGUAAGAAAACAGAAUAUUAUCUAGAUUUCCAGAGUUGGUGCACACCCUGUGAUAUGGUCUAUGGCCAGGGCCAAGGGUGUGUGUAUUUUCAGAAAUGGUCCCUACGUGUCAAUGAUACUGGUUUUUUUUUUCUUGAUCUUAAAUUUGACAAAGAGGGUGGUAAUAUUACAUUCUUUAGACUUGAAAUAAUACAGCUCCAAGAAUCUGCAAACAUAGUAAUAACUUAAUAAAAUUCAACAUCGACCCUCCCUCACCUGCUCACCAUCCCUCCCUACCCCAUGCCUCUGAAGAAAGGGGCAUCUAUGGGGUGGUAAAGGGGGAACACUGGGCAGGGAGUGGAGAGCUACUCCUCCAGCAGCUCAGCACCCACACUGCCCUCAUGCAUGUGGCCACUGGGACCAGAUUCCUAGUGAUUGUGGCAUACCCCUAACAUGAGUACUUUUUAAGCUGUCAGUCUCUUGUAGCAACCUCCUGCCACCACCCAAAAAAGUAACGAAAGUUGCAGAAUCUGCCAGUGUUUGCCUCACACAAUUUAAAUCGUUCCCUCUUUAAUUAGCUAUAUACCUGAAUUUGUUUUUAACGAGAAACUGUACAUGGCCAGGAUAGAUAGUACCUUGGCCAAGGGGUCUUUGCAAAGCUCAGUCACCAGUUCUUCACUGUGACCAAUGCUUGUUUUGUUCAUGGGAGGGGAAUGACCAGAUAAACAGGUAAAGAGAAUUCUGUGUUAAAUAAAAAAAGAAAUAGUGUCCAUUUAAAGCACUUGGGGCCUCAGCUUCGUUUUCAAACUAUAAAUCAUUGCUUUGGAAAUAAAUUCCCAAUUGUACUUGACCCAUGUCUAGCCAAUAUCAGUAAGUUUCAAAGGCAAGAAUGAUUAAAAUAUAUAUAUGUGUAUAAGUUGGGAUGGGUUUUUUUUGUAGUUGUUGUUGUUUUCAGAAAGGGAAAUUUCUCUUUACCGCUCACAGUGAGCAGCAAAAGAAAGUUGUCGAGGUGGCUUAUGAUGCUGUUGUAGCAGAGCUGUGAAAGGAAGUGCUUUUCUUUCCCUCCUGCCCUCCAGAAUCUGGCAUUCCUUCUCCUUUGGCUACUGAAAGGUGUGCACAGCUCCCAGAGGGGUGGGUGUAAAAGUUGACUAGAGGCGAGGUGGAGCGGCCUUACUGCCAGGACUAGCCCCACAGCAGAGCUUUACAGAGAGGAGGACAGUAUAUCCUAUGUGUGUUCGCCAAAAGUGGAAAAGGUGGGUAUUUAUGCAAAACAAAAUAAAAACCUUUGGAACCCUUUCAGAAGUGACCUACCUUUUAAAGGUAGUAUAAUCUCUCACCAAGUGAUGCAUUUUAGUGUGACACCUCUUGCCAGAAAUUUGGGGAUAAGAUAGAACACAUGUGUUUAAAACACCAUCCACCCCCCUUUUUUAGUUUUGUCUAAGGAAUUACUUAAGUAUAGUAUUUCUGAAUGUGCCUUUGUGAGUACAGAGACUGACUGUUUUCAGAAGAGGCUAUCCAUUGGAUACAAACGUAAAGAUGGUCAGCUUAAGUCUUUAGGGAAGUCACAGUUUCUCCUGGAAAGUCCCAGGGGCAGCUGUUGAGAUUUCAUUAGCAUCAAUAUAACACAGUGUACAUUGUGUGGAAGAGAUUCUGGGACUGGGGGGAGGAGACAGUUAGGGGACGGUACACAGGUGCUGCAGACCCAUGUUAGUCCAAGAGCGCAGGUUUAUACAACAUCUGCAUUCCCUAGUUUUCUCUGUGUGUAUGUUUGUGCUCAUGUGGCUGUGGCUGUUUUAUUAUUUGUUUUUCUGUAAGCACUGGAGAAUUGGAAUAUGGUGAUACUUGUGACACAUUCAUGAGGCAUUUUCCAGCUUCUGCCGUGUGCAGAGCGGGCAGCACACUUUUACCCUUUGAGUCUGUAUCCUGAGGCGGCCAUUCUGUUCCCAUAUGGGCGUCAUGUCAUGUCAUGUUGCUGUUGAUGCAAACAGGGUAUAACACACAAGGAAAAGGGUUUUGAAGAGUUAAGAUUGAAGCACUUGAGAAAUGAGAAAAAUCUGCAAUCAUGUUUUAUUUCUUCAGAGCUAUGAUAGUUUAACGCAGAAGUCUGCAGUGUUUCUUCAUUUGUUUUUAUGUUUUAAACAAUAUCACCUCUUCUCCCGACUCCUAUCUUCUAAAGAAAUACCAAGCAAAUGCUAAGGGCCAUUUCCAUGAUUCCUCAGAACUCCCCCAAAGAGGAAGACCAGUCCCUCCCACUCGAUUCCUUCAGCUUCAUUCAGGAAGACACAGGGAGGAGAGAUGCUGCUUCUGUGCUUUGCUCUAAUUCCUCUCUCAUGGCCUUGAAUUGUAUUAUUAUGCAAAUGUGAAUUUUGAUACUGAAUUUAAGAAGAGGUUGGAUUUUCUGUUUUCAAAAAAAAAAAAACAAGUCCCACAUGCGGUCAUCGUCGCUUCUUUAUGUUGUAAGGUGAAUUUGUAACUAUGCAUUCUUCAAAAGUGGGGGGGAGGAGAGGGCAGAAAGGGGAAGGGAGUGGCUUUGUAUCCUGUUCUCCAGUUUCUGUGUCCAUGGUGUCCCCGUGUCCUGGAGGGGAAGGGGAGCAAGAGACUAUGUGGUAAGGUCAGCACAGCGAGGUAGAGAGAGACCUCCGAGUCCUCUUGCCAGUGUUGCGGGCAGGUCUGAUGGCCAGGUUAAAUUCCAGGGGACCUGCAGUUCCUGUCCACCAUUGUGGCUCAGGAUUCUUGAUCCUAGCCGUGCAGUGUUAAUCCAGGGCAGCAGUGGAAGUCCACAGGCUCCAGUGUUCUCUGGAAAAAGUACUCAUUCUGUCCUGAACUCAGAACCCUUCGCACUCAGGAAACCAAGCCUCACUUGUGCUGACCUGAAAGUUCAUCUUUAGGUCAAUUUUGAAAAACUCCUCCUCCUCUCUCUUUUUUUAAAUAUUUCUUUCUUCCGUUGUAAUCAUUUUUAUUAGUUACAAGAAACUGCCCUGCUCUGUGGAGAAGAGGGCUGUUGCUUGGCAGGCAAGAAAGUUUCCUCUUCCCUACCCACCAUCGCUCUCUCUGCUUCCCUUGCAUCUGGCAGGCUGUAUGAAGCCAGUGAGCUGUGAGUGUUCGACAGGGGAGGCCUGCAUGCAGUCUCUUCUUCAUCCUAACAAUUCCUUUGUUGACCUUGCCUGUGAUAAAUAAGGCACCUGCAUUGCUCUGGUCUAGGCAUUAUUUGCAACACAGUAUCGUAAGUGAGAGAUUGUUCCGCCUAUAUUCAGUGUUUUCCAUGCAGCAGUUCUUGUUGUUGACGUUCACAGUACUGUAACGAGUAACAGACUUGAUCACAGUCUCCUCGUGCCUGUGCGUGGCUGCCCAGGCAUGAUCUUAUCAGGGUUCCAAUCUGUUAGAUUGCCUUUAAACAAAAGACAAAAAAAUAAAAUAAAAUCCUGACUUUUCAACUGUCUCACACAAAAUAAUACCUCGAGGUACAUUUCCCCCUGCAAUGUAAACCCUUAACUCCUCUCUCCCUUCUGACAUCAGCGGAUUAUCCUUUUUAAAAUAUGAACAUGUAAAUAGCAGGAUAACUUUAAAAAACUUUUUCUUUGCUGUGAAAGUAACCGUAAAAUACGUUUUCUUUUUGUUGUUGUUGUUGUUGUUUUGUUUUUAAGCCAUCAGAAGUUUCAGAUCUUUCUCUUUCAUGUUGAAGAAGAAAGAGCAAAGCUGGUCGGGGGAGUGGGUUUGCACUUGUGGUAGAGGGUGUUCUCUCGAUUGCCUCCCACAUAGUGACAGCAGACCAGUAUCUAAACCCUGUCGAGGCCAAGGCGGGUGGAUCACCUGAGGUCAGGAAUUCAAGACCAGCCUGACCAACAUGGUAAAACGCCGUCUCUACUAAAAAUACAAAAAUUAGCCAGACACAGUGGCGUGUGCCUGUGGUCCCAGCUGCUCUGGAGGCUGAGGCAGGAAAAUUGCUUGAACCUGGGAGACGGAGGCUGCGGUGAGCUGAGAUCACACCACUGCACUCCAGCAUGGGUGACAGAGCGAGACUUCGACUCAAAAAAAUAAAGUUAAAAAAAAAACCCUGUCUUAAAUAGCUGCCAUCUCUUCCAGCAAUCUAGUGCCAGGGCAAGGAGUGUCAUUUCUCUCUUCCAGAAGAUCCAUCCCCUCCAGAGACUCCAGAAUGUUCUCCACACAAGACCUGGAGGUCUUAACCUUUCUUGGUUCAGACACACACAUAAACAUCCCUUGAGUAACUCAGUAUCAUUUUGUAGUUCACAGAGGGAUUUAGUCCCUGGAAUUUUGGUUUGUGCUUUAGAAUCCAUAGCCUUGUCACUUUGUGAUGAUCUGGAAAUGUACUGAUUUCUUACUUAGGAGGAAACUUGUGUAAGGAGAUGUGCAAACCACCUUGAAAGCCAUGUGCAUCCUCAGCGCUUCCCCCUCCGUGAGGCUCAAAGCUGACGUUAAGUGGAGGGAAAUGCUUUUAACAAAUGCUGCUCGUGUGGAUCUGUCAGCUAGUGCUUGCCUAGAUCUGGGCAUCUGUGAGGCAGGGUUGGAAUGGAUCAUUUUGAACUGCUUCUUUGCAGACACCCCCUUCGCCCCCAUCUUUAAGAUAAACCCUUUACUAGUCAAGAAGCCCUUUUCAGUUGGAUCUCACUGACCUUGUAUAGUGACUGACGACUUCCUUUGAAGGAAGAAGCUUGAUUAUAAGUGCAUGCAUAUUAUCCGCCUCCUUCUGAUCUGGGCACUGCCGACCUUGGACUUUUAUUUAUUUUGUUUAUCUGGAGGCCCUUUUUCUAUCAGUCUCCCUCUGAUCCCUCAUGGGUUCUGCCUGCCCUUACAUCUCUUAUACAAUGCUCCUAAAGGGCUUUGCUGAUCUCUGCACUUCUUUCCUGGGACACUCCCCCCACCACCACCGUUUGCACACACCAGUGACCAAAGUGUAUGCAGUGAUCUCACAGAAGACAUCAAAAAUGGUGCAUGCACCAUGAAUGUGCUGAGACACGUGCACAAGAUUCUGCACCCUUGGCCUUAAUCUCAGUGUGACUUAAGGUGCAGGAACAUUUUUAACAGGUUUUAAAAAAAAAAAAAAUCCUUCUGGGAGGAAAAAAAUAAAAAGCAGAUAAAACAGCUCAACUGUGCCCACUCCUAACUCUCCACUAUGUGCUUAUAACUUCACAUUCUGUGCCCACGCCCCUCCCACCUCAUCCCUGUUUUGCGUAACCAAAAAACAGACAACAAAAGCAACCUGAGGAGAAGUUUCUGGACUAUUUUAUCUGUCUCCAUUUAGAUGGAGAUAUAAAUGCUGCUUUGGGUUCCAUAAUCCUAGGGGGCUAUGUUUACAUAGUAAAAUACAUCCUACCAAAUCAGGAAACAGUGAAUAUUGGGAGUCACUUCACAGAGACGCAAGAGGACCUGAGGGGUGUAGCAGAGGAGGACAGGUAGAGAAGUACCAUUUUAAUUAUUUGUGAUUUGUGGUUCCCUUCCUCCUCCCCUCCUCCCUUCAUGUCUCUCUUCGCCCCCUUUAGACAGAAGGUGCAGAAAAGGGCAUCAAAAAGAGGCUGGAUUUUUUUAAAAGGCAGCUUUCCAACUUUGCACACAAACAGGUAACAGGAAGGUACAGCAAAAAUCCUCUCAUCUGAAACACUGUCCGCAGAAACAAAACCUGUAAAAAUGACUAAUCAGCUGCACAUAUUGAUGCUCUCUGCAAGUUACCUAUAAGUGUUUUGUUUUUUUCUUAUACUUGAAAUCGCUUUUACGAUAUUAUUUUGGUGGCUUUCUUUUCUCUGAUGGGCAAUCGAGAAGGUAGAUGAUGGGAUUUAAGGAUGCAUGGGGGGAGAAAAGGGAGAAUGUGGCAUUGUCCUUUUUUUUUUUUUUAACAUAGAGGUUGAAUCGAACUCCCAUACAUUGAAAUUGUUCCUCAUAUUACUGGUUUUACAUGGACACAGAAACUAGGCACUUUAGAGGUGCACUUGCAUGGCAGGCUGGGCCCCCCUUUUCUAUAUUUUAUUUUCCUUUUUAGUAUAGUGGUACUUAAAAUCACUGGUUCACUUAAACAAACAAUAAAAUGUUAAACUCUACUAAUGUACAAAUAAGCUGAAAAGUUGCAUUUUAUGUGUAUUUUUUGCCAUAGCAGGUACUGUAUUUCUCAUGCUGGAUUUCAAAAAAAAAAAAAUUAUCAAAAACAAAAAAAAACUAAAGGGUGGUGUUUUAUUGGAUUGUGACAGGUUGAGUAAUAAGGAAUUAAGUCGUCGUCAUUUCAUUAAAACUGAGAGAUGAUGUAAUGCAUAUAUAAGAGUUUUCUGAAGGGUUUUUUUGGGCUUUUAAACAGCUUAUUUUCGUUUUUGUUUAGUUUUUUUAUUUUAUUUUAUUUUGGAAAGAUAUGAUUGUAUUAUGUGCAACUCAGUUGCUUACAUUAUAACUACAAAAUAUUUUUGGGUUCCUGGAAAAAAAAAAAAGAAAAAAGACUAAUAAAUGUGUUUGGCUGCUAAGCA